UACGUAGGGUGCGAGCGUUGUCCGGAAUUAUUGGGCGUAAAGGGCUCGUAGGCGGUUUGUCGCGUCAGGAGUGAAAACUCGGGGCUUAACCCCGAGCCUGCUUCUGAUACGGGCAGACUAGAGGUAUGCAGGGGAGAACGGAAUUCCUGGUGUAGCGGUGAAAUGCGCAGAUAUCAGGAGGAACACCGGUGGCGAAGGCGGUUCUCUGGGCAUUACCUGACGCUGAGGUGCGAAAGCGUGGGGAGCAAACAGG
rnacentral:misc_RNA from 1 species